rnacentral:misc_RNA from 1 species
AAAAGCGGCUGGAAGAACUCCGGCUCCAGCGCGAAGGAGUCGCGGCAUUGACCCGCGAAGAGAUCGUCGCGAAAUUGGGACUCGACCAAGCGCAAAAGGACAAGAUCAAACA